UGCAGACCGCACGCUCCCGGUCCGCCCCGCGUGAUUGCCUUGGGGGUGCCGGGAAGGGAACUGUGCCAGCUUAAAACUUUGGCUUAAGGACUGCAGAUCAUAAUUUUCCAGCAUGUUAUGUGAAUACAGAUGGAUCUUCUAUUUGUGGGAAAGAACUGCACAGUAAUAAGAAAUUUGAUCUGGAAGAAGAAAAUGAAGGGCAAUUUCAGCAUUGUCCUCAAGGCCGCACUCAAAGGGGAUGCAGGAAGCAGACUACAAAUCAUAGUUCAGUUUUGAACACCAAAGGAGAUCCAUGUGUUCAGACAGUCCAGUGGAUUAACCCCCUGCCAGUCCAGGUCUGCAUUUCCUCCCAGCUAUUAAUAUUUCUCUCCCUAGGUGGGCUUCUGAAACCCUCCCUGAAAGCAGGCUAAUGCUACGCGGGCUGUGGGGUGCUCUCAGACAAGGUCUGCAGAAGAAAAGGCUGUAUCAUGUCUGCACUCCCUAAGUCAUUCUCUAAAGCUGCCACUUGGAUAUUCCAGAGAUUGCCUGACAGAAAGAUGAAAGGCCAAAAAAAGAACAAAUGAACUUAAGAUACCUAUGUACUGACUACAGUU